rnacentral:rRNA from 1 species
AACGAACGCUGGCGGCAGGCUUAACACAUGCAAGUCGAACGCCCCGCAAGGGGAGUGGCAGACGGGUGAGUAACGCGUGGGAAUCUACCCAGAACUACGGAACAACUGAGGGAAACUUCAGCUAAUACCGUAUACGCCCUACGGGGGAAAGAUUUAUCGGUUUUGGAUGAGCCCGCGUUAGAUUAGCUAGUUGGUGAGGUAACGGCUCACCAAGGCGACGAUCUAUAGCUGGUCUGAGAGGAUGAUCAGCCACACUGGGACUGAGACACGGCCCAGACUCCUACGGGAGGCAGCAGUGGGGAAUAUUGGACAAUGGGCGCAAGCCUGAUCCAGCCAUGCCGCGUGAGUGAUGAAGGCCUUAGGGUUGUAAAGCUCUUUCAGUGGGGACGAUAAUGACGGUACCCACAGAAGAAGCCCCGGCUAACUUCGUGCCAGCCGCCGCGGUAA